rnacentral:rRNA from 1 species
AUGCCCUUCUUUGGCUGCAAGAAAGCUAAUUUUUUGAAAAAUAUCUGGGCAAAGGUUUCAAUCCAAUCGGAGUUACGGAUCUUUGGAUAUAAAAGAAACGGUGCAAGGGCAGAAUUCCAGAACGCGGAAACAGAGAGAGACAGAGAGAUAGAUCCAAUCUUGGAGGGGCUCUCGCCCCUCCCACGCCAUGGGAGCCAACGACCAGAGGGUAAACCCUUCUCCCAUCUAGGGAGGAGGUCAAGGAAGAAGAAGAAGAAGGGGAGCUCUCUCCCCCUUGCUUCCGGUGGCGCCGGAGCGCUGCCGGGGGCCAUCAUCAUCAACGCGAUCUUCACCAAUACCUCCGCCAUCUUCACUAACAUCUCCAUCACCUUCCCCCAUCUAUAUUCAGUGGUCGACUCUCCCGCAACCCGCUAUACCCUCUACUUGAACAUGGUGCUUUAUGCUUCAUAUUAUCAUCCAAUGAUGUGUUGCCAUCCUAUGAUGUCUGAGUAG